rnacentral:rRNA from 1 species
GAGUAACACAUGGAUAACCUACCUAUAAGACUGGGAUAACUUCGGGAAACCGGAGCUAAUACCGGAUAAUAUUUUGAACCGCAUGGUUCAAAAGUGAAAGACGGUCUUGCUGUCACUUAUAGAUGGAUCCGCGCUGCAUUAGCUAGUUGGUAAGGUAACGGCUUACCAAGGCAACGAUGCAUAGCCGACCUGAGAGGGUGAUCGGCCACACUGGAACUGAGACACGGUCCAG